UACGAAGGGGGCGAGCGUUGUUCGGAUUUACUGGGCGUAAAGGGCGCGUAGGCGGCCAGUGCAAGUCAGUUGUGAAAUCUCCGAGCUUAACUCGGAAAGGUCAACUGAUACUGCUCGGCUAGAGUGCGGAAGGGGCAACUGGAAUUCUUGGUGUAGCGGUGAAAUGCGUAGAUAUCAGGAAGAACACCAAUGGCGAAAGCAGCUUUCUGGGACGGUACUGACGCUGAGACGCGAAAGCGUGGGGAGCGAACAGG
rnacentral:rRNA from 1 species